ACAAUUAUCAUCAGGUAAAUACUGGGUGGAGAACGGGAAGAAGAAGACGAGAGAGAAGUGAAGAGAAAGCUAAAACCUUGUGGCUCCUCGCGGGAAGUGAAUGAAAAAUGAAAACAUCAUCAAAUGACCUCAACCCAGUGAUGUUGAAGCUGCGGGGCAGCGCUAUAUGUGGCCCUCCCAGAUUGGAGUCGCUCUUCACUGGCACCGGGAUGGAGUCCAGAGAACGAUGGGGCCAAACAAGGUUCUAAAGGUUCUGCUGAAGAAAGAGCCAAACGUAUUGAACAGGCUCUUCCUCCUUCUGACAUCAGGAUUUCUCCAGGCGAGGCAGGCACGUUAGUGAUGCCGUCAGCGCAGAGAGGAGAGGCAGAGACUGUGUCAUUCAGGAUGGAAUCAACCAUCUUGCAGACGAUCAUCUUCUUAAAUGCGCCGUACACACUGAGCAAAACAUGAAAAAAGAAA